rnacentral:tRNA from 1 species
GACGGGGUGGCCGAGUGGUUCAAGGCGGCGGUCUGACAAACCGCAUAUGCGGGGUUCAAUUCCCGCCCCCGUCUCCA